rnacentral:rRNA from 1 species
GAUGAACGCUGGCGGCGUGCCUAAUACAUGCAAGUCGAACGGACGGGCGCUACGCUUGCUGCGCUGAUGUUAGCGGCGGGCGGGUGAAUAACACGUGUAUAACCUACCUAUAAGACUGGGAUCACUUCGGGAAACCGUAGCUAAUACCGGAUAAUAUUUUGAACCGCGGGGUUCGAAGGAGAAAGACGGUCUUGCGGUCACGUCUAGCUGGAUCCGCGCUGUAUUAGCUGGUUGGUAAGGUCACGGCUUACCAAGGCAACGAUGCAUAGCCGAACUGAGAGGGUGAUCGGCCACACGGGAACGGAGACACGGACCAGACUCCUGCGGGAGGCAGCAGUAGGGAACCUGCCGCAAUGGGCGGAAGCCUGACGGAGCAACGCCGCGUGAGUGAUGAAGGUCUUCGGAUCGUAAAACUCUGUUAUUAGGGAAGAACAUAUGUGUAAGUAACUGUGCACAGCUUGACGGUAACUAAUCAGAAAGCCACGGCUAACUACGUG